rnacentral:rRNA from 1 species
GUAAUAGCUGACUCAUCGAGCGAUGUCGCGCCGAAAAUGAUUGGCGAUUAAAUUACAUACCGAAGCUGCGGAUUUGUGAGGUCUUUGGACCGCAUAAGUGGUAGGAGAGCGUAAUCGAUGCUGCGAAGCUGGACGGAAACGGAAAGUGGAGCGUCGAUUAGUGAGAAUGCAGACACGAGUAGCGAUAAACAAGGUGAGAAUCCUUGUCGCCGUAAACCCAAGGUUUCCUGGGCUAGGUUCGUCCUCCCAGGGUUAGCCGGGAGCUAAGAUGAGGCCGUAAGGCGUAAUCGAUGCACAGCAGGUUAAAUAUUCCUGCGCCGGGUAAGAAUUAGUGAAAGAUUGACGCAACAAUACACAUCAACACGCUCAUUGAAAGAGCAAGCCUAGGUCUUUGACCAAAGCAAGUUGGUGGGUUAAUUGCCUAGAAAAGAUUUUUCAUAUGUCUUACUCGCCCGUACCGUAAACCGACACAGGUGGGUGAGUGUAAAUGCACUAAGGCGCGCGAGAGAGACCUCUCUAAGGAACUCGGCACAUUAGCCUCGUAACUUCGGGAAAAGAGGUGCUCACUUCGGUGAGCCACAGUAAAUUGCGUUUAGCGACUGUUUAACAAAAACACAGCACUCUGCUAAGUCGUUAAGACGACGUAUAGGGUGUGACACGUGACCAAUGCGGAAAGAUUAAGGCAUUUUGUUAGCCGCAAGGCGAAGCUCGGUGCCAAAGUCCCCGUGAAUGUCGGCCGUAACUAUAACGGUCCUAAGGUAGCGAAAUUCCUUGUCGGGUAAGUUCCGACCUGCACGAAUCGUGUAACGACUGAACGACUGUCUCGGAGAGGAUCUCGGCGAAACUGUAACUGCGGUGAAGAUGCCGCAUGCCCGCAGUAGGACGGAAAGACCCUAUGCACCUUUACUGUAAGCUGGUAUUGUGUUCUGAUUAAUAAUGCGUAGCGUAGGUGGGAGGCUUUGAAGUGAGUGCUUCGGUGCUCAUGGAGCCGCAAUGUGAAACACCACUCUUUGCUAAUUAGGAUUCUAACCUCGAUUCCUGUCAACCAGGCGAGGGACAGUGCUUGCGGGUCAGUUUGACUGGGGCGGUUUCCUCCCAAAGAGUAACGGAGGAGCGCGAAGCUUGGCUCAGCACGGUUGGCAACCGUGCGUCGAGCGUAUGGGUAUAAGCCAGGUUAACUGUGAGACCUACAAGUCGAGCAGAUGCGAAAGCAGGCCCAAAUGAUCCGAUGGUUUAAUGUGGAAUUGCCAUCGCUCAACGGACAAAAGGUACGCUAGGGAUAACAGGCUGAUCGGUUCCAAGAGUUCACAUCGACGAACCGGUUUGGCACCUCGAUGUCGGCUCAUCGCAUCCUGGGCCAA